rnacentral:rRNA from 1 species
AGAGGGGGCAAGCGUUAUUCGGAAUUAUUGGGCGUAAAGGGCGCGUAGGCGGCUUUGCAAGUGACGGGUGAAAUCCCUCGGCUUAACCGAGGAACUGCCUGUCAAACUGCAUGGCUUGAGACCGGGAGAGGUGAGUGGAAUUCCCAGUGUAGCGGUGAAAUGCGUAGAUAUUGGGAGGAACACCAGUGGCGAAGGCGGCUCACUGGACCGGUACUGACGCUGAGGCGCGAAAGCGUGGGGAGCAAACAGGAUUAGAUACCCUGGUAGUCCACGCCGUAAACGAUGAGUGCUUGGUGUAGCGGGUAUCGACCCCUGCUGUGCCGAAGUCAACACAUUAAGCACUCCGCCUGGGGAGUACGGUCGCAAGGCUG